rnacentral:ncRNA from 1 species
CCAAUCAACCCAAAAGAACUGUAAAUAUACCAGAACCCUAAUGGAAGUUCGUAAGAACUAGAGUACAAUGGCUAUACAACGGCAAUCCUAAUAGGAUAGAAGAAGGAUAGGGGUUAUCUGCAAAAUAAGGUAUACAAAUAUGCAGAACAGUUCUUUU